rnacentral:tRNA from 1 species
GUGGGUAUAGCUCAGUGGUAGAGUGCGUGCUUGGCUUGCAUGAGGUUCUGGGUUCAACCCCUGGUACCUCCA